rnacentral:sRNA from 12 species
GCUUUCAACAUCCCCGUCCAGCUGCCCCUUGAGGCUGGCUGGACUGAAGGC